AGGCCAUGUUCGUUUAGGCCGUUCCCCGCCGGGAACCGCGGCCAAACCUCGUGGAUCCCUCCCCAUGGAAAUAAGCCCGGCCCACAGAAAAACAAGCGUUCGGUUACAUCCCACGUGGGCUGUAUCCAGAUCGUUCCUCGUCAUUCUAGCCCGGGAAACACGCCCGGUCGACCGGGGGGUGGAAAAUAUCCUAGCCUGGACCGCAAGCGAACGCGAAGGGCACGCGACUUCUCGUCGGCGUCGAUCUGCUCCGACGACCGCUUCUCAUCGUUGUAGACUUCCAGGGGUCGAGUUAUGUAUGAAGUAGCUCCAAUCUUUAGAGGAAGAAUGUCUUCUCAACGGGUUUUAUGUACUUGUUCUAUCAAAGAGUGAGAUGAAUCAUUAUCUAGAUCUAUGAUCUCGUCAUGUUUAGUACACUGGAAAUGUAUUCUUUUGCAACUUAUUAGUGUUAACAUACCAUGAGAUAAUUGUGCAGGUUGUUUGAAAAGGCAUUAAUAUUGAGCUGACUGAAUUAUUUUGAUAUUA